rnacentral:rRNA from 1 species
AACGACUCUCGGCAACGGAUAUCUCGGCUCUCGCAUCGAUGAAGAACGUAGCGAAAUGCGAUACUUGGUGUGAAUUGCAGAAUCCCGUGAACCAUCGAGUCUUUGAACGCAAGUUGCGCCCGAAGCCUUUUGGCCGAGGGCACGUCUGCCUGGGUGUCACGCA